UACUCCAGAGGGCAAGUUGCUAUGAGGACAAAUAAAAUUGUGUCAAAUAUAUAAAAGCCUGGGGGAUGUGUAGGUCCCUAGUAAGUGCUCAGUCAAUUACAGUUCAUCUUUCUCCAGUGUUGUUCAGCAGGCACCGAUGUAGGGCACUUGUCUGGGUUUGUCUUUCACGAGAGUGCAGUGUGCAGCGUCCUCUCUAAAUCAGAACUUUGGGCUCCACAGCAUUUGUUUCAUGGUAAGCAGCUAGAUGAUUUUAAACUUCUAUCUUCCCCAAGAACACUCGACAAAAUUGGCAGCCUGUACUAUGCAAAAAUUCACCCAGAAAUGGAAGAGAGGGACAUUUGCACAAGCUGGGUUGUGUCUACAGAAUUAGAAGGCACAGUUGGACUAAUUUUAGUGUCUAAAAAUUGGAGGAAACAUUGGAAUUAGGCUUCGUGGGAAGACAAGUCCUUGAAAGUGGCAAAAGGAACCACCGGGAUUGGCUGAAUCGGGGACCAUGCCCACAAGGUUUGGGCGCUGUCCCAGUGUGCGCACAGACCCUAACCGGCCGGAAGUUAAAAGGUGGGGGAGGGAAAAGGGUUAAGCGCCCUUUAAGGCUUCAGGUUAGAAAUGACUGCGGAGACCUCCUUCGCAGUGCCCCUUCAUUGUCUUGGUUUCCCAGCUAUCUGCUUUCCUUUGUCUUGCCAUAGAUAAUUUUGAUCCCGUGACCGGGCGGUCGCCUGUUGGGGCUCUCUGGCAUUUUGUCCUUUGGGAUUUCUGAGAGGGGCAGGCCCCUGUGAUUGGCCUCACGUGGGCAAACCGCACACAACUCGCUUUGUAUCUGAGGAGCGGAGCGGGGGCCUGGCUCCUUUUCGUCGCAGCCAAUCAGGCCGGGGCUGAGAAUUUAUGAGAUGAAGGCGACCACUUUGAAGAAAGGCGCCCUUGUCUGCGGCUUCCCCAUUGCUCGGUGGUGCGCGUGGGGCGGUGGGGAGGGGUGGGCUCAGCCAGAGGGCCGGCGCCCCGGGGAUGGACGGGCAAAGAAAAGAAUCUGAGAAACCAGGGUCAAAAGUCUUUCUGUGCACAGGAAAGAAAACUGAGCAGGCUGCCUUCCUUCUUGCAGGUGUGUUCUCACAAUGGGGAGCCACGGCCCUCCCCAAGGACCAGCGAGCAAUGGGCGCAUCUCAUUCGCUGCCUGCAUUUGCCCCCGCCCAUCCAAGAGAGCAGAAUCAGAGAGGGUGAAGGCAUCCCAGCCAAUGCCGUGAGAAAGCACCUGAGAACCUUAAGAGCAGAAAGGCAAGGCAAGCUACCAGCUUCUUGGACCAACCGCCUUUUGUCCUUGCUCAGGGGAAUACAAGCUUUCUUUCUCCAGACACUGCAAGUGUCCACAAGUUCUUCCCUUUAA
rnacentral:lncRNA from 1 species